AGCAUCAGGUUUUCUAACUCAGCACAGGCCAUCUCUAAUCAGUCUGGUUUUUAAGCCUCAGCUGUCAGCUGCUUGCAAGCAGUUUCUGAGAGCAAAGCAAGGAACAGUUUGCAAAGGCUUUUUCAGCACAGACCAAGGUCUCUGCCAAAGCUCAUCUUAUCAGUUCUGGAACAUCCCUCUGAUCUGUGAAGACUACUUGGAAAUUUGACCCCACCUGCCAAAGUCCUUGCAGGCCAUCCAGCCUGGUGCCACCCACAAACUUUUGGAACCACUGAAAUCUUGCCCAGGGUGACUACUGAGACACCUUGAUCACAAGUCACAAAUCCUGUCUCCAUCCCCUUCCAGAAUCACAAAAUGGUGAUUUAUGGGCAUUUUUACAAGAGGUCUGCCAGACUGGGCCUCAAAGAAAACAUUAGCUGUUAUACAGGUCCACAUGCCUCUAGUCUGGGAAGUUCAGGAGUUGCCACCACCACUGGAGGCCUGCUUCUAUAAGACAUGGCCUUGGUGUCUGCCUGGGGCGAAGGAAGGCCUGUAUUUUCGAAUUCCUUUCUGGUUCUGUGACCCCAGGGGCACCUGAGUAAUUAACAGUGCCACCUCUGAUGUGGGGGAUGAAAAUGAAAUUCCCCCACUGUCUAAGGAAAAUGAAAAUCUUAUCCCAAGCUCUGUAGGAGAACGUCCUCUCUGAUGUGGCUCGCUCUCAUUUACCUCCAGGAUGUUUCACCGUGCGCUAAUGAAAGAGCCAGUGGUUAGGAUCUCCUGUGGGAGGGAGAGAUUGGGGUUUCAGACCCAACAGCAACCAAACGGAAGGCCUAACUGAGGCAUAAAGAUGAGUCACUUCUGCUCGCCCUUCUGAAGUAGCAUUUAUCUGUAGGAUGUGACACCCGUAACUUGGCAACCCGGCACCCAUGACAUCACUUAAUCUUUUUGCAACCAGUCUGGCAGCCAUGUAAAAUGUCUUACAGGAAAAAAAGCUCACACCACAGACAUUGGAUGGCUAAGAAAAUAACAUCCAUGUGAUUGUGUUCCCUGCUGCUCUGCGUGUCACUCCCUCCCCAAGGUUUUUAUUAGCAUGUGGGCUAAUUUCAAGCCAAUUUGACAGAGAGGCUAAAUAUCUCAAAAAUGCCAAGUUCCUACAAAUGCCACAAAAUGAAUGGCCACAUAGUACAGAGACAUCCAAAUCAAUGGCACUGUUGAGAGACUGAUGUAUAUUCAAUGUUGUUACCAUACAUCAGAAAAUCAAUGGAGGAAAGAGCCAUCAGAAAUCAGACUUCACAAGUUCCACUGCUCAUGAAAUUGCGAACUCCUACUUGUUAUCACUUGUCUUAAUAAAAAAAUCUGUCUGUUUUCUGCCUCAGGCCUCUGUUACAAGUGUUAAUGAAGAUCUACUCUCAGAAGGAAACAAUUAUUUUAAUAAGUCCUUUUAAUAAAAAUAUAAAUAUUGCAAUUAUUCAGUUUCCUGUUCAAGUCCUUGCCCGCUAAGAGCCCAGUGCAGCAGGUCUAAAAACAUGCUCUCUGGGUGACUUCCUGAGAGCACGUUACAGUUCCUCCUCCCCUGCAGACAAAAGGACUCUUUCCAUGGGUUUGGAUGGAGCCCAGGCCCUGUAACCUCCACCCGCUGAGUGGGGCUGUGGCAUUUUAGAGAAUUCCAGUAGAGGAGUCUGCAGUAGGAAUGAUCCCAUUGCAAGUGCUCUUCCUCCUGGGCACCUUUUCUUUCCACGAGAAGGAAACCUGUUAAAAAGGGUAACACAUGCAAACAACUUAUACUUGGAACAGCCCGGUAACAGCCAUCCACGUGUGAUUCUCCUUUGAGGUCUGUGAUGCAUGACCACUCUGCAGUGCCAAGCCCCUGACUCCCAAAGGCUGUGUGAGCAUGAGCUGGGAAAGGCACUACUAUCACAUGGCAGGCUGGUAGGAAUCGCAGCUGUGGCCUGAAGACUGAAGUCGAACUUUGUGGUAUUCUCUUGAGCAACACCUCCUGGCUCCUUCUGUCCUUCAUGGAACAUCUUAUUGGUUCAGAGUCUCUGCAACAUAGAUGAUGCAUCUUGGAAAAUAUGAAGAUAGAUUUUAAGGCCAUCUUAAAAUCUUGAGAAGUUAAGCCUUAAAAAUGUAGUGCCCUCCAGGCUGACUCUUUGUAUGACUUCAGUCAUAAGACAUUGCUCAGCAGCAUCUGCAUCAGCAAUAUCUUCAUCCACUCCAUCGCUAUGGGUUUAGGCAAUUCCAUAUCCUUCUUAAACAUUUAAUUUGAAGGUGUUGGAGA